rnacentral:rRNA from 1 species
CCGUGCAAAGGUAGCGUAAUCACUUGUCUUCUAAAUAAAGACCCUGUAUGAAUGGUUAAAUGAGGACAAACCUGUCUCUUAUAACUAAUCAGUGAAACUGAUCUGCCCGUACAAAAGCUGGCAUAAACACAUAAGACGAGAAGACCCUGCGGAGCUUAAAACAAACCGCUAAAGUGUACCACAGCGUAAUGUCUUAAGUUGGGGGGACUUCGGAACAAAAUAAAACUUCCGAGGAGAGAUCCACAACCUCUUACUAAGGCCAACAGGCCAAGGUACAACACUGACCCGGCCCACGCCGAAUCAACGAACCAAGUUACCCCAGGGAUAACAGCGCCAUCUUCUUCAAGAGUCCAGGUCGACAAGAAGGUUUACGACCUCGAUGUUGGAUCAGGACACCGUUGCGGUGCUCCCUCUCCCGACGGUGCAGCCGUUCAGCGACUAA